AACGGCGAGUGAAGCGGCAACAGCUCAAAUUUGAAAUCUGGCUCUCGGGCCCGAGUUGUAAUUUGUAGAGGAUACUUUUGAUGCGGUGCCUUCCGAGUUCCCUGGAACGGGACGCCAUAGAGGGUGAGAGCCCCGUCUGGUUGGAUGCCAAAUCUCUGUAAAGUUCCUUCGACGAGUCGAGUAGUUUGGGAAUGCUGCUCUAAAUGGGAGGUAUAUGUCUUCUAAAGCUAAAUAUUGGCCAGAGACCGAUAGCGCACAAGUAGAGUGAUCGAAAGAUGAAAAGCACUUUGAAAAGAGAGUUAAAAAGUACGUGAAAUUGUUGAAAGGGAAGCGUUUAUGACCAGACUUGGACUUGGUUAAUCAUCUGGGGUUCUCCCCAGUGCACUUCUCCAGUUCAGGCCAGCAUCAGUUUUCGCCGGGGGAUAAAGGCAGCGGGAAUGUGGCUCUCUUCGGGGAGUGUUAUAGCCCGUUGUGUAAUACCCUGGUGGGGACUGAGGUUCGCGCUUCUGCAAGGAUGCUGGCGUAAUGGUCAUCAACGACCCGUCUUGAAACACGGACCAAGGAGUCGUCUUCGUAUGCGAGUGUUCGGGUGUCAAACCCCUACGCGUAAUGAAAGUGAACGCAGGUGAGAGCUUCGGCGCAUCAUCGACCGAUCCUGAUGUUCUCGGAUGGAUUUGAGUAAGAGCAUACGGGGCCGGACCCGAAAGAAGGUGAACUAUGCCUGUAUAGGGUGAAGCCAGAGGAAACUCUGGUGGAGGCUCGCAGCGGUUCUGACGUGCAAAUCGAUCGUCAAAUAUGGGCAUGGGGGCGAAAGACUAAUCGAACCUUCUAGUAGCUGGUUUCC
rnacentral:rRNA from 1 species